rnacentral:rRNA from 1 species
GGGGAUCUGCCCGAUAGAGGGGGAUAACUACUGGAAACGGUGGCUAAUACCGCAUAAUGUCUACGGACCAAAGCAGGGGCUCUUCGGACCUUGCACUAUCGGAUGAACCCAUAUGGGAUUAGCUAGUAGGUGGGGUAAAGGCUCACCUAGGCGACGAUCUCUAGCUGGUCUGAGAGGAUGAUCAGCCACACUGGGACUGAGACACGGCCCAG